CUGCUCUAAUAUUCUGAGUUUUUCUUCUUAAAGGGACAUCCAUAAAUCAUGUCUGGCAAAAUCGCGAAUCUCCCACCUCUCGCGUGACAUAAUUUGUGGACGGUCCCUAAUAAAACAUUUUUACAAGUUAUCACCAAUCAAAAAAUGUCUACAUUUUGCAAUUGAAAAGCUGCAUGUGUAUUUUUUAAUUUAUGCACACACUUAAAAAUAAUGUUACCAUUUUUUUGAAGAGUAAAUAAACGCCAUAUGAUUAAACGUUAAGUAAACAAUACUAAAUUCUGUUUAUGUAGCGUUAACUUGGUAAAGAGUAAAGCUUAGUCUGGAUUUAGAACAAUUUACUUAAUUUAGAAAUUAGUCGGCAUUUACUUUUCAAAAGGCUCUGAAAUUAUUGUUACUAUCGUCAAUCCCACCGAUCUUAUCUGUCCCGAUAAACGACGAUUCAAACGUGAAGAAUAUUUUAUCCGAAAACUUGGCAACUAUCAAAUCUAAUCAGAAUUUGGAGAUUAAACAAAAUUUGGGGAAUUAUCCAAACGCAAAAUUAGUGAUGCCGCCAAAAACACGAACAGGACGGCAGAGCAACUACCCUCUCAUGAUUUAUGGAGGAUGUUACCCCCCUGGAGGGUUUGGGUGGGGAUCCCAACCGCCAAGUUACCCUCCUUACAACCCAUUUGGAAACCAAAAUAGAGCGACGACUAAUAAUCAAGGUUGGGACUAUCUCAUCGAAGCCUUCUGUCGCAUGGAUGCUAGAAACUGCCCAAAGCGAUAGCUAUUUUAGACGAAAAACGAAUACUACAUAUUUAAUAAUUGUAAUUGUUGUGUUGCCAAUGAAUUGUAAAAAAAUUGAAAAAAAUUGCCUUAAAUGGUCACAAACUUGUGCAAAAUUUCAUUUUUAAGCAUUAUUUUCCACUUCCAGAUAAACUUAGGGUAUGUAGAAUGGUUUCAAUUUCAGGUUAAUAAAAAAUAUAUAUUAAUGACUUUUGGGCCAGCUUGUAUAUUUAAAUACAACUCAUUUCUGGGUGAUUAAGAGUUUUGCUGAAAAAUAAAAUGGCCAAAAUACAGUA